GAAGUCUCAAUUAGAAUCAGGACUUCUAGGUUGCCAGGGGCUGGUGAGAGAGGAAAAUGAGGAGAUGUUGGUUAAAGGCUACAAACUUCCAGUUUGAAGAGGAAUACGUUCUGGGGAUGUAAGGUCUCUACCUCCAGAAAUCAAUGUGAAACUGAAGCUGGUAAUAUUUAGCCCAGCAGAGCAGAGCCGAGAGUCACAAUAAGAUUUGUGGGAACAGAGUCCAACCAAGAAACUGAAGACCCUAGAAUCCAAUCUUAUCCCUGACACUAAGUAGCUGAUUAGGACCCCCAGAUAUCCAUCUGAAAUGAACCAAGAAGAACAUCACCAAAAUCAGUAUGUUGAUUACUCCAGGAGAUGACAUGGGAGAUGGGAGAGGGAAGAACACACAGGGAAAACUCCUUGAGCACCGCCUCAGCCCUUAUUAUAGAAGUCCUGCUUUGUAAUGGAGUCAUUAUCUUUCUGAGGACUGAGUAAGAGAAAGUGUUCCUUCUUUUUUGUAUUGAAGUGCCUGCUCCUUGACUCAGUUAUUAAAAUGAGGGAGCAAAUAGCUCCUUGUUCUAAUUUUCCUUAUCAGCCUCCACAGGGCCCAUUUCAGGCUGUCUGUGAAGUGUUAGAAUGCAAUUGUGUGCUUGAAUAAAAAGGAGAAACUGAA